UCAUAGUGUUCUUCUAUAGAUGAGGUGGCC
rnacentral:piRNA from 1 species